UUUAUUUUGGGCUAAGAUCUUGGAGAAUCAGGCAGGGAACAAAUUUUGCUGGUUUUCCAAUAAGAGAUCCCCUGUGGUAAGAGAGGCUCUUCUCUCUCUACCUGACGCCCACCUACCACUUCAACAUCCUCAAGCCCUACGUGGUGAUUUUCAACAAGAGUGUGAACAUCAUGCACGUGAGUCCCUUCAACUCUGGGUCCAGCUGGAGCCUCAGGGUAGAGGGACCACAGGCAUAUCUGGUCUGGAAUUUUGGUUGUACUUUGGGGUCAAUGCUCUUCCUCUCUGGGGCUUGGUUUCUCUAUCUGUAAAAUGGGAAUAAUAAUCUCUACUUAAUGUUGGUAAGAUCAUGUAAUGGAGUCAUGUCCCUGGCACAUGGUAGGUCUCAGAAAGUGUGAGUUUCCAUGUUACUCUCACAGAAACCCUUCAUACUCAAGAGAGUAAAAAUGAAGAUUGCAUAGUAGCAAUUGCUGAGUACAAACCACCUCAAAACCCAUUGGUUUAGAGAAAUAAGGGUUUAUGAAACCUAGCAAGUCUGCGAGACAGCUGGCUGGUUCUUCUGCAUGGGGAUGGGAUCACUCUUGGUACACAAGCAGCUGUGCGUCAGGCGGGCAGCUUUGCUGAUCCUGUCUCAGUUUAUUCACUUGUUUGGGGCUUCAACAGCUUCAGGUUGAUCUAGGAUGGCCUCAGCUGUGACACCUGGACUUUUCUCCAUGUGUUUCUCUGCCUCUGGGAGGCACCCGGCUGUGCACAUGGCAUAGACUUGGUUCUGAGAGACUGAGAGGAGACUGCAAUGACUCUGGACAGUCUCUCUGCCAUGUUUCCAAGUUCAACCAGGCUGACAUCAGCACAGACUCAAAGGGGCGUAAAACAGGCCCCAUCUCUUAAUAGAAGUUGCUGGAAAAUCACAAUGCAAAGUGUGUGAAUACAAGGAGAAGUGAAGAAUUGGGAGUUGGGAUUUUGUGAAGUGCUUAGGAUGUUUUUCUUACUUGCAAGCUGAGGAGCUAGCUUUGUUAAUACUUCAUGGAUUCUGCCAGGAGACACGAGAGUCCUGGGUCAGAGACAAAGGGUGAUUUAUUACUCACGGCAUAGCAAGCAGCAUGUUCUUGGUUUGCAUCAUUUCUCCAGCCAGAUUCCACGGGGUGCCACAGAGAGGUUUCAGUAGUUGCCUGUUCAUGCAGUACCUUGCAUGGGAGGA
rnacentral:lncRNA from 13 species